rnacentral:lncRNA from 1 species
AUAGCUGAGACACAGCUGCACAGUCAACACCCAAGGUCACCAGACCCAGCACAUACAUAGCCACUUCAGGGUGGCCACAAUUCUCUCUCUCAGGCCUUCUCCCUCUUAGAACCCUGCUCAAACAGAGAAGAGGUUGGAGCUUGAAUCCUGAAGGCUGCACAGCCCAGCGAAAGGAGGGUGAGCUUUCAGCUGAGGCGUCUGGAUUCCAGCCUGGCUCUGACAUUCCCUGGACUGGAUUGGGUGACUCCUCCUCUCCUAAUGGAGACAAGGUUGGUUGAAUUCAAGUCAUCUAUUAAGAAUCUGGCACGCUGAAGGCACUUGAAUGUUCCAGAAUGAGCUUCCCUGGGCUCCAAGUGAAAGAGGCAUUCGAUGAGGACAGCCGGCAACAGACAGAAGCGGGCUUCAGUGGCUGCUUUAUCUCCUCCUCCGUCAAAGGAUCUCUGCAUUUUGUGGGCACCUGGCAGUUUGUCAAUUUAAAAGUGUUCUAAUUUCCCAUUGGUUGGUUGGAGCCAUCUACAACAAUGCCAGCAAUGCAUGCUGAGUAGAGUUUUCUGGAAGGUUCUUUAAAGGAAACUGGCUUAGCUGGAGACCUUUCAUGUGCACUUUAAACCUUGCCUUUAAUAACAGAGGUCUCAGUGCUGGAGACACAGCAGCCACCUUGGCACCACGAAGAGGAAUUACAAAACACAUUUAUCCCUGCAUCCUUUAGCCAUUGAGCCAAUGCUAGCAACUACCUCCUUCUACAGUGUCUUAUAAUGAAAACAAAAAUCCUUACUUGUUUAAAUCACAGUGGUCUGGCCUCUGUUGCCUGAAACUAGCCUCAAGAGUCUUUCUUUCCUGGUUUGCCUCUCGGUGGAGAAUGGUGGGUUUGCUAAGGAACCUGAUCCAGGAUAUCCACAAAGCAGAGAUGGAGGAGUCUCUACCCGGCUCCUGCACAGACACAAUUCUUCUCAGCCUGGGACUCGCUUCACUCUAGUCACACGCCAGGGAAGAGGUUUAGUGUUUAAACAUGGGAAGUUUGACUCCCACAUGUGUAGUGUGAAUGAGCUCUGAGGUCUCCACACAUCCUCAAAACACUCGACGCAUAGCGGAGUGGACAAUGCAAGCUGAGCCUGUGGACAGUCUACAGUGCCAGCACGCAGAAGGCAGGACAGGCAGAUUCCAAGUUCAAGGCCAUCCUGAUAUCCUGCCUCAAACACACCAGACUAUGAACAUCCUAACUUGGGCCACUGUCGCGUCCGCUCUCAACCAGCAAGAACGACACGACCACCAGUCCUUCUAACAGCAGUUUAUUCAGCAAAAUUCAGUCUUCCUCUCUCUUCUUUCUCUUUGUUUAUAUCUCCCCCGAACCCUGGGCCUCUCACUCUUAUAUACUCUCAGUUCCCAUCCACUCACAGCAGGCCACGUUACCUCACCAGGUACGCAGCUUCAGCUAAUCAGGGCAACGGAGGCAUAUCUCCACCAAAAUGGAUUCGCCAGUAUCCUGGUACACCUGCGCAGCUCUCACGAUGGUUGUGGCUUAUAUUCAGGUGAGGAACUCGCCCUUCCUCAUCUUGUCUGUUACCCCCUCAGCUACACCCAGGAAGAACAGGGAUAAACACAGUCCCUCACUGCUCACUCCAGUCUGGCCACGUGGUCCUGACUGCUUCCGUGACAUCCCUGGGACACAUGUCUGAAAGUGGGAUUCGGGGGAACCCACAGGCUGUUGGGCGACUGAGACACACGAGGCAGGGUCCUCCCUGGAAGCUCCUGGUUCCAUGUCUCCUUGGUUUUGUACCCAAAAGCUCCAUAGAUCUUCCAAGCCCUUUAGCUGACAGACCUUCUCCCUCAGAGAGUGAUAAGGAAGCCGUGGAAAGGUGAAAGAAUUCUGCUCCAGAUGGGAGAGUCAUGUGUUCUCGGAGAGUGUUAGCGCAGCCUCGGGGGAAAGGAAAUUAAGUCAUAUCCCACCAAACUGCACACUUGAAAACACCUUGACCUCCAGGCUUGGCUCCCCUCUUAGUAUUUGUGGGUCCUUUGGAGCCAAGCCUGGCCAUGCACAGACGGGGAGCAUUGCACGAGGUCAGACUAACAGGAGCCACAGCUGCCGAAAGAUGGGUCACAGUUGCUCACGAGUGGCCUUGGCUCACAGCGCCCUGGUACUGCUUGUGGACUGUAUUAUAGCCAACCCGGAGAGUGGCAGCCACAGAUCACUGCCAUUCCAAGAAGCCCAUUGCUCUGGGUUUAUCCGGCAGAAAGCACCAGACUUCAGUGUUUUCCUUCAUGUGAGGGCAUUUCCCUCCAGAGGGACCAAGAGAUGGUUUUAUGUGUCCUAGAAACACAGCAUUAAAACCGAUUCACUCACAUCUUCUCCUCUGUUCUGGUACUAUCUGCUGCUUGCUAGUGUGACCCCCCCCCCCCACACACAUCUCCCACACAUUCACAAAUCUCUCUACGAGCAGAGGAUUGCAGUGUAUUUCUGUGGGGCGCUUCCGUUUGGGGGCUGACGAGAUGGCUGAGCAGUUUAGAGUCCUGGAUGCUCUUGCAGAGGACCCAGGUUCAGUUCCCAGAACUCACAUAGCAGCCUGUAACUCCAGUUCCAGGAGAUCUGAUGCCCUCUUCUGGCCGCUAGGGACACUGCAUACGCAUGGCACCCUUAACAUAUAUGCAGGCAAACACUCACACACGUAAAAUACAAUUUAAAUCUUUUGAGCUUCUAUUUGUGGCAUGGGGUUUGACAUUUAUAAUAGUGAAAACGUUAUUUCUUUUUUUUUAAAGAAAUGAUAUUUAAGUUUUAAAUUAAGGGAAAAUAUUGAAUAAAAGCACAGGUCAAAGUUUAAGCGUGGUGAAAACUGGCCAUGGUGUGACAGAUAUAAAAGUCUACAGAACAGUUACAAGAAGGGAAGGGAAUCACAAUAAGGAAGGCCAGGGCAUCUGUGGUGCUCAGGGGUCGUCGGAUUAGGCCCUGAUCAGAGUUUGUUUGGUCAAUGGGUACACAGCACAUUGAACCCAUACUGCUGUCUCUCCUAUCAGGAGGGUGGUGGCAGUCCACUCUGUUUCCCAGUGACUGGUGGUGGGCACACUUUUCCACGGACCUGGUGGUGUUCCUGAGUCCUUAGAGAAAUCUCCGCCGGGCAUGGUGGCGAACGCCUUUAAUCCCAGCACUUGGGAGGCAGAGGCAAGCAGAUUUCUGAGUUCGAAGCCAGCCUGGUCUACAGAGUGAGUUCCAGGACAGCCAGGGCUACACAGAGAAACCCUGCCUCAAAAAAGAGAGAGAGAGAGAGAGAGAGAGAGAGAAAUCUCCUUUGAGGCCAUUUGCCCGUUUUACCGUCUAGAGUUUCUUUGUUUUCUUUUCUUGCUCUCAAGCUGUGUGCAUCCUUUGUUUUGAUAUUGCUGGGUUUUAUCAAGCACACUGCUCUCAAAUACUCCCCUUGGCGGUGGUGGCAGCCUUCCCACCCUCUGGGCCUCUUUACUGUCCGGCGUCCCUACUCCUCCUUCCCUUUGGGCUUUUGGCUGAAUUUUUAGUUUAAUAUUUAAAUAAAAGAAAAAUUCCAGUCC